rnacentral:rRNA from 1 species
CAGCAGCCACGGUAAUACGAAGGGGGCUAGCGUUGUUCGGAAUUACUGGGCGUAAAGGGCGCGUAGGCGGCCAUUCAAGUUAGAUGUGAAAGCCCUGGGCUCAGCCUAGGAAUUGCAUUUGAUACUGUUUGGCUUGAGUUCGGGAGAGGUGAGUGGAAUUCCCAGUGUAGAGGUGAAAUUCGUAGAUAUUGGAAAGAACACCGGUGGCGAAGGCAGCCCCCUGGGCCAAUACUGACGCUCAUGCACGAAAGCGUGGGGAGCAAACAGGAUUAGAUACCCCUGUAGUCCCUGUCUCUUAUAC